GAGGUUGGGGCCCUGUAGCUCCUUCAUGCACGUGUUCAUUUCUGGCUUAAAGGGUGUCUAUCCACUUGCAGGAAGUGGGAGAAGCUGAGAAGGUGAAGCCAGCAAGCAAUGAUGUAACUUGCAGACCCCUGCUGGGCCAACUCACUUCUCUGUGCAGAAGAUCAUCCACUGUUCAGGGUGUAUAGAGCCCCCCUCAGGGCCAAGGAGAGGCUCCAGAAAAAUCACAAACACAAGAAUGUGUGUGAGGUACUGGCUAAAGCUGAGCAUGCUGACCCAGGCAUGGGGCCUUCUCACCGUUCUCUGAAGCCACCCCUUCCCUUAUGCCCUGAGGCUGCUUGCUGAUGCUGGGAGUAAAAGAAAUGACUCCUG
rnacentral:lncRNA from 1 species